rnacentral:rRNA from 1 species
GACGGAGGAUGCAAGUGUUAUCCGGAAUCACUGGGCGUAAAGCGUCUGUAGGUGGUUUAAAAAGUCCACUGUUAAAAAUUGAAGCUUAACUUCAAAGAUGCCGUGGAAACUUUUUAAACUUGAGUAUGGUAGGGGUAGAGGGAAUUUCCAGUGGAGCGGUGAAAUGCGUAGAGAUCGGAAAAGAACACCAACGGCGAAAGCACUCUGCUGGGCCGACACUGACACUGAGAGACGAAAGCUAGGGGAGCGAAUGGGAUUAGAACUCCUGUC